rnacentral:rRNA from 1 species
UGGCUCAGAACGAACGCUGGCGGCAGGCCUAACACAUGCAAGUCGAACGAUAAGCCGGAUUGCUCUGGUGGACAGUGGCAGACGGGUGAGUAACGCGUGGGAACCUACCUUAUGGUAGAACAACAGUUGGAAACGACUGCUAAUACCGUAUAAGCCCCCCGGGGGAAAGAUUUAUCCAUUAGAUGGGCCCGCGUUGGAUUAGCUUGUUGGUGAGGUAAUGGCUCACCAAGGCGGAUCCAUAGCUGGUUUGAGAGGAUGAUCAGCCACACUGGGACUGAGACACGGCCCAGACCUACGGGAGGCAGCAGUGGGGAAUAUUGGACAAUGGGGGCAACCCUGAUCCAGCCAUCGCGUGAGUGAAGAAGGCCUUAGGGUUGUAAAACUCUUUCAGCGGGGAAGAUAAUGACUACCCGCAGAAGAAGCUCCGGCUAACUCCGUGCCAGCAGCCGCGGUAAUACGGAGGGAUAGCGUUGUUCGGAAUUACUGGGCGUAAAGCGCGCGUAGGCGGACUGGUCAGUUGGUGGAAAUCCCAGGGCUCAACCCUGGAACUGCCUUCAAUACUGCCAGUCUAGAGAUCGGAAGGUGAGUGGAAUUCCUAGUGUAGAGGUGAAAUUCGUAGAUAUUAGGAGGAACACCAGUCGAAGGCGGCUCACUGGUCCGAUACUGACGCUGAGGCGCGAAAGCGUGGGGAGCAAACGAUUAGAUACCCUGGUAGUCCACGCCGUAAACGAUGAGAGCUAGCUGUCGGGCGGCAUCGUUCGGUGGCGCAGCUAACGCAUUAAGCUCUCCGCCUGGGGAGUACGGUCGCAAGAUAAACUCAAAGGAAUUGACGGGGGCCCGCACAAGCGGUGGAGCAUGUGGUUUAAUUCGAGCACGCGAAGAACCUUACCCAGCCUUGACAUACCGAUCGCGAAUUCCAGAGAUGGAUUUUCAGUUCGGCUGGAUCGGAUACAGGUGCUGCAUGGCUGUCGUCAGCUCGUGUCGUGAUGUUGGGUUAAGUCCCGCAACGAGCGCAACCCUCGCCUUUAGUUGCCAGCAUUUAGUUGCACUCUAGAGGGACUGCCGGUGUUAAGCCGGAGGAAGGUGGGGAUGACGUCAAGUCCAUGGCCCUUAUGGGCUGGGCUACACACGUGCUACAAUGGCGGUGACAAUGGGCAGCCACGGCGACGAGGAGCUAAUCCCUAAAAACCGUCUCAGUUCGGAUUGUUCUCUGCAACUCGAGCAUGAAGUUGGAAUCGCUAGUAAUCGUGGAUCAGCAUGCCACGGUGAAUACGUUCGGGCCUUGUACACACCGCCCGUCACACCAUGGGAGUUGGCUUUACCCGAAGGUGGUGCUAACCACUUUACUGGAGGCAGCCAACCACGGUAGGGUCAGCGACUGGGG